rnacentral:rRNA from 1 species
UACGAAGGGGGCUAGCGUUGCUCGGAAUUACUGGGCGUAAAGCGUGCGCAGGCGGUUAUGUAAGACAGGUGUGAAAUCCCAGGGCUUAACCUUGGAACUGCCUUUGUGACUGCACGGCUAGAGUGUGUCAGAGGGGGGUAGAAUUCCACGUGUAGCAGUGAAAUGCGUAGAUAUGUGGAGGAAUACCGAUGGCGAAGGCAGCCCCCUGGGAUAACACUGACGCUCAUGCACGAAAGCGUGGGGAGCAAACAGG